UUGUUGCUGUAUUCUCAUUGGUUGGUUGGUUUCUAGUUGUGUUCUAGCUGUCUUCUGUUUCCAUUUUCUUCUCAGGUAAGAGGGCAAGUUUUUAAGCCAACAGACACCAAUGAGAGUUGUUUUGAUCAUUUUUAGGCUUGUGAUAGGGGCCAAGUUGAGUUGAGUGCCCCGUCCUGCACAGUUAGGUGAGAGUUUUCAUCAGUUUCAAUGUUUCCACACAUACCAGGAUCUUUUAAUCCAAAAUUAGCUACUCAUCAGAAGGUGAUGGAACAAUAAUGGGAAACCCACACUGGGAUGAAUCAGAAGACAAUUCAGAGAAGGAAAAGAUUAGUGAGGACCAGUCAAUUUCUAGCAAAAUCACAUAAUUUUUUAACACCAUAGUAAAACAGCUCUUAUUUGUAUUUGUUUCUCACUAUUUUCAGAUGCAACAGGUCUCUGUAGGCCCAGAUACAGCACAAAUUUUCACAAGUCAUUCAGAAAAAAACGUGGUUCACACAAUCGGUAUGGUCAGAUCACAUCAGGUAAAUAUUGUACACAGUACUGAAUACUGAAAUGUUGUCAUCUGUAGCCAAUAAUUAUUUUCUCAAAAUAAAGGACCCACAAAGUGCUGUGCCAAGUGGGGCUGUCAGACAAGAAAAGGAUGAAAUAUAUAUAAUGAGAGAGACAAAACUGGACAAGAGACCCUCAGAAGAAAAGACAGAAUAUGAAGAAGGACAAGUAAAAGAAAAAGUAGACAAGGGAUCCUUGGAGAAGAGAAAGAGUGAAGGUGAUGAAGGACAAACGAGAGAAGCAAAGAUACAGGAGGAGCCUUUGGAGAAGAUGAGCAGUGAAGAAGAGCCCUCAAUAAUAAAAAAAAACAUGCAACAAGAUUAUUUAUAUGUCUUAGAACAGAUUGUAAGUGGUUAGGUUCCUCAGGGAAAGCAAAUUUGAUUUGUUUGAUUUUAGGUCGGUCACCAUCAAAAUGUCACUCAACAGCUGUUUUCUUGUAGAUCAGCAAGAUAAUUCGGACACAGAUGGUGAUGUUUGUGUGAAAAGCAGAAGUGUAGCAGAAUUUGAACUUGCUGACACACUGGUAAGUACAGACACUGUAUGGGGCAGAGCAAUAUUACUGGCUAGACAUGAAUAUCUCCCUGCUCUUUACCACUGUGCAUUUUGUAUGAGUGAAAUGCAGUGCCAAAUAUACAGUUUGCAGUUGGACUAUGCUAUAACUUUCUUUGUUUUUCUUCUUUUACUUGUGUUGAAAACAACGUCUACAGGGAACCAAAUGAAUCAGUUGCUAACAAAUAUGAAAAAGAAAAGGACUGAUUGGUGGUCAGAAUACCCUCACCUAGGUAGUGAUUUUAAAAGAUUUGGCUGGACAGAGUAAAAAUCAGCAUGUGUGAAUACUUAAAAGCAAAUCACGUGCAACAUCUACAGAUAAGAUGAAUGAAUGACUGAUUACUCAUCGUUAACCAACCAGCAUUCCGGGCCACCUUAUAAAGGGACGAGGCGCCCGUCCUGGUCCCCCUCUUGCUCGUUGGUCUCGAGUCCGCCCCUUCUGGGUUACCUCGCUCCCGUCUCCGGUUCCCCUGGCAGCUGAUCGGGCUGCGGCUUUGUGCCGGUGUAGUGCCUGGCAGGCUGCGCUCUCUGCCAUCUGUUUGGGGUGCCUCGCUGCUGCCACCGCUGCUCCAGACUGAGCUGAGCGCCUGUUAAAGAGAGGAACUUCUGCUUUACUCUGGCGUUUUUUUUGUUGUUGGUUUGCCUCGCCGCUCCUCCAACCCACUUGCCUGGCCGCCGCCUUGAGUGCCGUUGGCCGUGGACCGACUGUUGCCGACCGCGGCGCCUGAUGGCUCUGCUCGCGGCUGAUAGCCGGCACCAGAGUCAGCCUGGUCGGCCCUGCACGUGGCAUAGGCCUAUUUUAACGCGUGGAUGACUGCGUGGGGGUGUCCCCAUUUUCAUUGUAUCUUGUUUUAUUAUAUUGUUUUUAUUUUCUUGGGAUGUUUUGUGUUGUGUUUCUGUUGUAUUUGUGUUAUUUCAUUUUCUUAAAUUAAUCUUUGGUAUAUUUGGAUUAUGUGUGUAAUUUGGUUAGGUUAUUUGUAUUUUUGUUAAGUAGUUCUUUUGAAUUUAAUUUCUUUUCUAACUGUGAAUGUAGAUUAUUUUGGGCAGCAGAUUUUGUUGAAUUCUUGAGUUUGUAAUUUGUGAUCUGCCCAACUUUAUAUUUUGAUCUGUUUUUUUUUUUUUUUGUUGUUGUUGUUUUUUUGGUAAGUUUUGCUUUAUUUGAUUUUCUUUGAGUAUAACCCCUUUUAUUCAUUUUCUGUUUCUUUCUCCCUUUCAGUGCUGAGGGCUGAAGGUGGUGGCCUGGGGUCCGAGGUGGUGGUUUCCCUUCCUGUAUGCCGUGUGUU